rnacentral:sRNA from 1 species
UGUCAAGACUUUUUGGCGUCGUUUGGGCGGAUGGAUUUCUUUUGCCUAUUGAAAGGUAGAAGACGAUG